CCUCUCGCGGCCCACACUUUGGGAAUCGCUGAUUUACAUUAUAAGUUGUUGAUACAAAUGUGUAUGUAAACAUUUACUCUUUACUCCCUGUUAUCCACUUCUUUCAUUCAUGUCAGUUACUUGUUUUGUUUCUUUAUAUUGUAUGUUAAUAUUUUAUUUAUGUUCAAACAUGUUUCUGCCAUUAGACGCUGCUCAUCAGAAUCAUUUAAUGUGCAGGAUGAUUUCUGAGAAAAGUUGCUUUUGCAGGUUCCUCUUUCUUUGACACAUUUUCUAUUUUCAGUGGGAACAUUUUAAAAGAAAGGAAGUGUUUGUCUUUGCGAGUGCAGUGAUCGACAAGAUACGUUAAAGGUGUUAAACUGAAGCAAAACCGCAACUAACACACACAGUACAAACAACAUUUUAUAUUCAUGUAGUUUAUUGACAUAAUAAUGUUUGGUCCUUUUUAUUCUCUCAAAUGUUGGUUUUGUUCCAGGGAGCAGAGAUGAAAAGCUUCCUCUACGACACUCACAUGAUAUGAAUAAGGCCUUUAAAGUGGAGCAGGAACAGAUCUCAAGCCGUCAGAGAGGAAGUUCAAAAGGAGCCUGAUGACGAGCAGCUGUGUGCAAACGUCUCCGAGCUUCUUUGAAUAAGAGGCCAGCUGUGCGUCAUCUCUUUAUUUUGGAGCUUUGCACUCUUUAGCCGUGAGCAUAAACGCGAUGUGAUACUGUAAAUGAACCAGUGAGCAGCUUGAGAAGCUGAAUGUGUGUGUUGUGGACUGAAAGAUAACGUCUUAAUUUGUAUUUAA